rnacentral:rRNA from 1 species
GAUAAACGCUGGCGGCGUGCCUAACACAUGCAAGUCGAACGAUCCCGCAAGGGAGAGUGGCGGAAGGGUGAGUAACACGUGGAAUCUACCUCCUCGCAGGGAACAACCUCUCGAAAGAGAGGCUAAUACCCAAAGGGUCAGAAAUGAUCAGAGUCGAAAGGCGUGAGGAGAGGAGCCCGCGGCCCAUCAGCUAGUUGGUGAGGUAAUGGCUUACCAAGGCUACGACGGGUAGGGGAUCUGAGAGGAUGUCCCCACACUGGAACUGAAACAACGGUCCAGACGCCUACGGGUGGCAGCAGUGAGGAAUAAUUGGA